rnacentral:rRNA from 1 species
UACGUAGGGUGCGAGCGUUAAUCGGAAUUACUGGGCGUAAAGCGUGCGCAGGCGGUUUUGUAAGCCAGGUGUGAAAUCCCCCGGGCUCAACCUGGGAAUGGCAUUUGGGACUGCAAGGCUGGAGUGCGGCAGAGGAGACUGGAAUUCCUGGUGUAGCAGUGAAAUGCGUAGAGUAUCAGGAGGAACACCGAUGGCGAAGGCAGGUCUCUGGGCUGACACUGACGCUCAUGCACGAAAGCGUGGGGAGCAAACAGG